rnacentral:rRNA from 1 species
UACGUAGGGUGCGAGCGUUAAUCGGAAUUACUGGGCGUAAAGCGUGCGUAGGCGGUUCGUUAUGUCCGAUGUGAAAGCCCCGAGCUCAACUUGGGAAUGGCAUUGGAAACUGGCGGGCUGGAGUGUGGCAGAGGGGGGUGGAAUUCCACGUGUAGCAGUGAAAUGCGUAGAGAUGUGGAGGAACACCGAUGGCGAAGGCAGCCCCCUGGGCCAACACUGACGCUCAGGCACGAAAGCGUGGGGAGCAAACAGG